UCCAUAGAGGAGCACUGUGGCUCCUGACAUGGCCAUUCAGAGAGAGCACGAUGUUCAAGCAGUGCUGAGCACACCACCAUUCAGUCACAGAAGGUGACUCCAGGAACUGCACUGGAGACAUCAAGAUAAACAGCAGUGGCUCUUCUAACACUACUCAGUUAAAUCAAUCAGCAGGAGUAAAGGCGUGGUGCUCUCUUACUGCAGGAAGAGCUGGGAAACAAGAGAUGUCACAAAGAGGUCCCUUUCACGUCAGAACUCCUGCUCUGCAGUACUGCCAUGUAGGACUCGAUCACAUGUAAUCAGGGGAGAAGAUUUGUGAGCACUUGAGAGCGUUCCGCCAAGGCAAAUUCUGAGAAAAAUCAAUUCUGACUACUUGUGCUGUUGCUCCUACAACAGAUAAGUAGGAUUUAGUACACAGACGCCUGCACGAACCACCAAAACAAUCCACUCCGCUUUCAUUUGUGGAGGAAAUUCAUGAUUCAGCCACAGAACAGAUGGAUAUUCCUCUUUCAGCAAUCCAGCCCAGCCUCCAUCUUUCCCAGGAGACUCUGAAGGGCAUCAGAGCUGACCAGAUUAUCUCAGCCAGUUUUAUAUUGGGAGGCAAACUGCUUCCUGAAGCCGAAGAAGGAAGGACUGAAGGUAUCAGUGAUGAGGUACAAUCAUACACUAUCACAGCACAAAGCUGAAAGGAUUGGGAACGUGCUGACGGAAACAGGAGAUUUUCUUCUGCUUACAUGGUCCAUUAAGGAAGGGAGCAGCCUACUAGCAGUUAAGCAGACUACCAUUGUGUCAUAGACUUUUCACACACAGGUUGUAGAAUGUCCCUCAAAAACUAGGUUAAUUGUGAGAACUCCUAGCUUCCAGCUGGAAAAUCUUGUUACGACUGCAAAUAAGACCUAAAAGCCCUAUUAGUAGGCAUCAUCCAUGCAUAAGCACCUGCACAGCUCAACCUAGUCAUCUUCCAACCUCUUUUUGACUUCGAGGCUGAAUAAAUGAACACAACACCUUAUACACCUCAAAAGCCACUCUUCUUCAAAGCCAUAAGUUAUUUUUACGGUCCUAAACUAAACUCAGAACAAAACAAAAUUAUGCAGUCUUUUCAACUUUGAACACGAGCAAGAUCACAUCCCCCCUUCAACCUGAUACUGCCUUUUGCGUUACUGAUGCAGUUAUCUUCAGUGAUCACCCGUUCUCUCCCAAAACAGCAUCUUCCAACUAAUACCUUCUAUCCCACAUGCAUAGCUCAUACCCAAACACACAGCACUCCGCACUAAACUGUAUCAAACAUGGACCUACUGGAUUUUUUUUUAUUUAUCAGCAGUUGACCAGUCAUUCCCUAACAGUAAUCUAAUCUUCCUCCUCCUCAAAUAAAUACAUAUACACGUGUAUAUAUAUAUAUAUACACAAACACAUAUUUUAAAAUGUAAACCUUACAGGCAAGGUUUGAAUAGUACUAUCUCCAUGGGUUGACACAGAUACUGAAUAAGACAGACUGAAAAGGAUCCUUGGGAAAACCUACACUAGAAGCACUCUUGAUCAUUGACGUCUUCCCAUAAAGCACAACUUUUCACGAUCUACCAUUAAAGAUUUUUUAACCCCUCUGAUGUGUUCUCUUCUCUGGUCUUGUUUUAAAUAAAAACUGGGUCACGCAAAUUAAUUCAACUGCUUAAGCAAUGUUCAACUAUCUCAAUACUGCUUUGUAUAAUCCUAUCAAAAUAGACAUGUUAGAAAGAUGCAUUACCUUGCAGAAAGUCAUGCGGAAUGACAGUAAACUCCUCCCUCAGAUUCUAAUGUUUUUUAAAACUUUCCACAAUUAUUUUUACAUUGGAUCAACAUUCAGAUAAUUAGCAGGUAGCUUUUUGGAUCAUCCCCUUAUUUUGUUCCCAAUAUUGAAUUCAGUCCUCUCCAAUUCCCCUAGCUUACACAAAUUGGUUAAAAAUUAAGAUUAAUGAAUAAAAGAGUCUGUUGGUUUGGCUGUUAUCCUUGGUCACACCUUAUCUAUCUGCUAGUGUUUGCUUGUUUUUUUUUUGUUUGUUUGUUUUAAUAAAUAUUAGCAAGCACUAUCUCAUCCUCCUUCAUUAUGAAUUGUAUACAAAACCAUACAUG